rnacentral:rRNA from 1 species
GACGAACGCUGGCGGCGUGCUUAACACAUGCAAGUCGAACGAAGUGGCGAACGGGUGAGUAACGCGUAAUCAACCUGCCCUUCAGAGGGGGACAACAGUUGGAAACGACUGCUAAUACCGCAUACUGAAGGAGGGGAGUGCGUCGGGUUAGCUAGUUGGAGGGGUAACGGCCCACCAAGGCGGUGAGCAGUAGACGGGCUGAGAGGAUGAAAGGCCACAAUGGGACUGAGACACGGCCCAGACUGCUACGGGAGGCAGCAGUGGGGAAUCUUCCGCCAUGGACGACAGGCUGACUAAGCCACGCCGGGUGAGUGAUGACGGCCUUCGUGUUGUAAAGCUCUGUUAAUCGGGACGCGGUACCGGCAUAGAAAGCCACGGCUAACUACGUGCCAGCAGCCGCGGUAAUAC